rnacentral:misc_RNA from 1 species
GAUGAAGGACGUAGCGAAAUGCGAUACGUAAUGUGAAUUGCAGAAUUCAGUGAAUCAUCGAAUCUUUGAACGCAUAUUGCGCUCUCUGGUAUUCCGGAGAGCAUGCUUGUUUGAGUAUCAGUAAACACCUCAACUUCCAUAUCUUUUUUGAAAUGGGAGUUGGACUUGAGUGAUCCCAACGCUUUUCCUCACCGAAAAGUGGCGGGUUACUUGAAAUGCAGGUGCAGCUGGACUUUUCUCUGAGCUAUAAGCAUAUCUAUUUAGUCUGCCUAAAAAACAGAUUAUUACCUUUGCUGCAGCUAACAUAAAGGAGAUUAGUUCUUGUGCUGACUGAUGCAGGAUUCACAAAGACAGGCUUCGGCCGACUUUGUAAACUCGAUCUCAAAUCAAGUAAGACUACCCGCUGAACUUAAGCAUAUCAAUAAGCGGAGGA